UACGUAGGGUGCGAGCGUUGUCCGGAAUUACUGGGCGUAAAGAGCUUGUAGGUGGUUUGUCGCGUUGUUCGUGAAAUCUCACGGCUCAACUGUGAGCGUGCGGGCGAUACGGGCAGACUAGAGUACUGCAGGGGAGACUGGAAUUCCUGGUGUAGCGGUGAAAUGCGCAGAUAUCAGGAGGAACACCGAUGGCGAAGGCAGGUCUCUGGGCCGAUACUGACGCUGAGGAGCGAAAGCGUGGGGAGCGAACAGG
rnacentral:rRNA from 1 species